rnacentral:rRNA from 1 species
GGGCCCGCACAAGCGGUGGAGCAUGUGGUUUAAUUCGAAGAUACGCGCAGAACCUUACCAACACUUGACAUGUUCGUCGCGACUCUAAGAGAUUAGAGUUUUCGGUUUGGCCGGACGAAACACAGGUGCUGCAUGGCUGUCGUCAGCUCGUGUCGUGAGAUGUUGGUUAAGUCCCGCAACGAGCGCAACCCUUAUCCUUAGUUGCCAUCACGUUUGGGUGGGCACUCUAGGGAAACUGCCGGUGCUAAGCCGGAGGAAGGCGGGAUGACGUCAAGUCCUCAUGGCCCUUAUGGGCUGGGCUACACACGUGCUACAAUGGCAGUGACAGAGGGACGCUACUUCGCGAGAAGAUGCAAA